rnacentral:rRNA from 1 species
UGCCAGACUCCUACGGGAGGCAGCAGUGAGGAAUAUUGGUCAAUGGUCGGGAGACUGAACCAGCCAAGCCGCGUGAGGGAGGAAGGUACAGAGUAUCGUAAACCUCUUUUGUCAGGGAACAAAGACUGGGACGCGUCCCCGGAUGAGUGUACCUGAAGAAAAAGCAUCGGCUAACUCCGUGCCAGCAGCCGCGGUAAUACGGAGGAUGCGAGCGUUAUCCGGAUUUAUUGGGUUUAAAGGGUGCGUAGGCGGGACGGUAAGUCAGCGGUAAAAAUGCGGAGCUCAACUCCGUCGAGCCGUUGAAACUGCCGUUCUUGAGUGAGCGAGAAGUAUGCGGAAUGCGUGGUGUAGCGGUGAAAUGCAUAGAUAUCACGCAGAACUCCGAUUGCGAAGGCAGCAUACCGGCGCUCAACUGACGCUGAAGCACGAAGGCGUGGGUAUCGAACAGGAUUAGAUACCCUCGUA